GAUGAAGAACGCAGCGAAAUGCGAUAAGUAAUGCGAAUUGCAGAAUUCCGUGAGUCAUCGAAUCUUUGAACGCACAUUGCGCCCCCCGGUAUUCCGGGGGGCAUGCCUGUUCGAGCGUCAUUGUCAACCCUCAAGCUCGGCUUGCUGUUGGGUCCCCGUCGUUGCUCCAACGGCGGACCCGAAAGACAAUGGCAGAGUCUGCGGGACCCUGGAUGCAGCAAGCUUCUGGCACGCGUCUGGACGGUCUCUGGGCUUGGCCUCCACCAAUCGUCAACCUGUGAUUGACCUCGGAUCAGGUAGGGAUACCCGCUGAACUUAAGCAUAUCAAUAAGCGGAGGA
rnacentral:misc_RNA from 1 species